ensembl:lncRNA
GGGGAGGAGGAGGAGGGGGAGGAGGGGGAGGAGGAGAGGAGGAGGAGAGGAGGAGGAGAGGAGGAGGGGGGGAGGAGGGGGAGGGGGAGGAGGAGGGGGAGGAGGAGGGGGAGGAGGGGGGAGGGGGAGGAGGAGGAGGGGGAGGAGGAGGGGGAGGAGGGGGAGGAGGAGGGAGGAGGGGGGGAGGAGGAGGGGGGGAGGAGGAGGAGGAGAGGAGGAGGAGGAGGAGAAGGAGGAGGAGGAGGAGAAGGAGGAGGAGGAGGAGGAGAGGAGGAGGAGGGGGAGGAGGAGGAGAAGGAGGAGGAGGAGGAGAAGGAGGAGGAGGAGAAGGAGGAGGAGGAGAAGGAGGAGGAGAAGGAGGAGGAGGAGAAGGAGGAGGAGGAGAAGGAGGAGGAGAAGGAGGAGGAGAAGGAGGAGGAGAAGGAGGAGGAGAAGGAGGAGGAGGAGGGGGAGGAGGAGGAGAAGGAGGAGGAGGAGAAGGAGGAGGAGGAGGAGAAGGAGGAGGAGGAGAAGGAGGAGGAGGAGAAGGAGGAGGAGGAGGAGGAGAAGGAGGAGGAGGAGAGGAGGAGGAGGAGAAGGAGGAGGAGGAGAAGGAGGAGGAGGAGAAGGAGGAGGAGGAGAAGGAGGAGGAGGAGGAGAAGGAGGAGGAGGAGAAGGAGGAGGAGGAGAAGGAGGAGGAGGAGGGGGAGGAGGAGAGGAGGAGGAGGAGAAGGAGGAGGAGGAGGGGGAGGAGGAGGAGAAGGAGGAGGAGGAGAAGGAGGAGGAGGAGAAGGAGGAGGAGAAGGAGGAGGAGGAGAAGGAGGAGGAGGAGAAGGAGGAGGAGGAGAAGGAGGAGGAGGAGAAGGAGGAGGAGGAGAGGAGGAGGAGGAGAAGGAGGAGGAGGAGAAGGAGGAGGAGAAGGAGGAGGAGGAGAAGGAGGAGGAGGAGGAGGAGAAGGAGGAGGAGAAGGAGGAGGAGGAGGAGAAGGAGGAGGAGGAGGAGAAGGAGGAGGAGAAGGAGGAGGAGGAGAAGGAGGAGGAGAAGGAGGAGGAGGAGGAGGAGAAGGAGGAGGAGAAGGAGGAGGAGGAGAAGGAGGAGGAGAAGGAGGAGGAGGAGAAGGAGGAGGAGGAGAAGGAGGAGGAGGAGGAGAAGGAGGAGGAGAAGGAGGAGGAGGAGAAGGAGGAGGAGGAGAAGGAGGAGGAGGAGAAGGAGGAGGAGGAGAAGGAGGAGGAGGAGGGGGAGGAGGAGGAGGGGGAGGAGGAGGAGAAGGAGGAGGAGGAGGAGGAGGAGAGGAGGAGGAGAAGGAAGACCGAGAAUUUUUUUGGAGAAAUAUGCUGAAAACUUCCUAAUCUGGAGAAGGAAAUGGAUAUCCAGAUCCAAGAGGCACAGAGAACUACCAUCAAAAUCAACAAAAGCAGAUCCACACCAAGACAUAUGGUAAUUAAAUUGGCAAAAUUUAGUUAUAAAGAAAAAAUUUUAAAGCAACAAGACAAAAGAAGUCAGUAACUUACAAGAAAAAUCCCAUAAGGCUAGCAGGGUGUUUCUCAGCAGAAAAUAUCCAAGCAGAGGGAUGGGAUAUAUUCAAAGCACUGAAUGGGGAAAACCUGCAACUAAGAAUACUCUAAUCGGCAAGGCCAUCAUUCAGAAUAGAACGAGAGAUAAGGAGUUUCCCAGACAAAUAAAACUAACGGAGUUUGUGACCACUAAACCAGCUUUGCAAGAAAUAUUAAAGGGGACUCUUUGAGUGGAAAAGAGAGGCCAAAGAGACAGUAUAGAGUUAGGAUACAAAAGUAGUAAAAAUGAAUAUAUCUGUAAAAAUAAGUCAUACCUAAAACAUGGGGAGGUGAGAAGUAAAAUAUAGGCUCAAACUUAAAUGGCCAUCAAC